UUUCCCACUUCGGGGGCAUACAGACUAAAACUGGAAUGAUAUUAAGAUCCUCACAGCCCUGCACAGGGAUGACAUGCAAAAUCAGGAAGCAGUCCAUAUUAUU
ensembl:snRNA U6 U6 spliceosomal RNA